AUUGCCUUCAUUGAUUUUGAGUAAUUUGUCUAAUAAAAGUGAUGUUGUCAUGAAAACAUGUUUUAUUAAACAGUUUUAUGGCAAGUGAGUCAUUCAAGUGUAACAGAAUCAUGUUUUUAUGCCCUCAGUUUGACCUUGACCUUGAACUUGACCUCGUUUUGGACUUAGGUUGCUUUGUAUCGACAAGGAUGCCACCGGGUUCAUCAAGCGUUUAUUGAACGCAGCUCCUUGUUUUUCUUGCAUUUUAAGUUGUGUUUUAGUGGCAAAGAUCAAGCACAAUACAGAUCAUAGACGAAGGUGUUUUAAGAUCUGGAGCACAAACGGGCUACCAUGGAGACGUAUCUCUACAUCUAGGCAGUGGUGCAGAUGGAAAACAGACAUUCAGAUCUACAAAGUUAUACGGCAGAUUCUGGAAUACAAAAAGGUUACCAUGGAAACAUACGUUUAGGCAAUGGUAUAGAUGGAUGACCGACGUCUGGAUCUACAAAAGUUAUGCAGCAUAUUUUGGAGAAUACAUGGUAUGCAUGUUUACUUUUAAUUUCUUGUAACUAUAACUGUAAUACAUUUGUUUCUGUCUUAACACAUGCCUUUCUGUAUCUUAUGCAUUCAACAGGGUUACCACGGAAACGUAUAUAUACAUAAAGGCAAUGAUAUAAAUGGACUGCAGACGUUCAGAUACACAAAGGUUUACAGCAGACGAAGCAUAUAAGGUGUGUAUGUUUACUUUUUCUUCCUUUUGGCAACAUUAUGUUAUGUUUGUUUCUGUUUUUGUCUGCCUGUAUCUUAUACACACAACAGGUUUAGCACGGAAACGCAUGUCCACAUCAAUACAAUGGUAUAAAUGGAUGACCGACGUUCAGAUGUACUAAGUUAUACAGCAAACUUUGGAGCAUAAAGGGUGUGUAUAUUUACUUUUCCUUUGAUGC